rnacentral:tRNA from 1 species
UGUGCCGUAGCACAGUGGUAGCACGCCCGUUGUGUGUACAGGUGGUAGGGGGUUCGAUCCCCCAGCCCCCGCACGA